rnacentral:rRNA from 1 species
AGAUUGAACGCUAGCGGCAUGCCUAACACAUGCAAGUCGAACGGUAACAGGCCCUUCGGGGUGCUGACGAGUGGCGGACGGGUGAGUAAUGCGUAGGAAUCUACCCACGAGUGGGGGAGUAGCCCGGAGAAAUCCGGAUUAAUACCGCAUAUGCCCUACGGGUAAAGCGGGGAGUCGUAGACUCGCGCUGUGGAGUGAGCCUACGUCCGACUUAGUUAGUUGGUUGGGGUAAAGGGACCGUACCAACGGCGUACGAUCGGUAGGCUGGUCUGAGAGAACGACCACGCCACACUGGGACGUGAGACACGGCCCGACGACUCCUACGGGCGGGCGAGC